ACUGCCACACCAACGACAACAUCAGCAACCACGAGAACGACAACAACCACCAGAACAACAACCACUCCUGCACCACUCCUUUGUUAUAACACAACUUGCAACUACGAAAAUUGCCUUAAAGAUUUGAUAAACAACAACAGCACAACAACAUGUUUGAAACAAUCUUCAUUCCCUUGCACGAUUGAAAUCUCCAACACUACAGCCCCCUCCUACACGGUGAAGGCAACGUGUGCUAGCAGCAAUUGUGAUGACAGUUUUCACAUUAUGGUCGCUGGGAAAAAUAUGAC